CCCUUAGAUGUUCUGGGCCGCACGCGUGCUACACUGAGUGGAUCAGCGGGUCAGGUUGCGCGAAAGUGUUUCCUAAUCUUGAAAUCCGCUCGUGAUGGGGAUUGACGGUUGCAAUUUUCCGUCAUGAACGAGGAAUACCUUGUAAGCGCGGGUCAUCAUCCCGCGCUGAAUACGUCCCUGCCCUUUGUACACACCGCCCGUCGCUCCUACCGAUUGAGUGGUCCGGUGAGGCUUUGGGAUCUGAGCGGAAAGAGCGUUUCGCUGUUUCUGCUCGGAAAACUCAGUCGAACCUUAUCAUUUAGAGGAAGGAGUAGUCGUAACA
rnacentral:rRNA from 1 species